rfam:Salmo salar isolate Sally breed double haploid chromosome ssa12, whole genome shotgun sequence.
UGCAUUCACUACUGUAAGUCGCUCUGGAUAAGAGCGUCUGCUAAAUGACCGUAA